rnacentral:miRNA from 1 species
AUAUGAACUCUUAUGUACGUGA